AUGUGUCCAACUUUUAAUGGACUGGCAAUGUUGAGAGAUGCCUUGUCCCGAUCCUCCGAGAUAUUUCCUCUACCAGUUGCAUUCCGAGGGUGCACAACUGCGUUUCGUUGCUCAUCAACUAUGUGCAUGCAUGUUACUAAAUUCUUGUGCCCAAACGUCAGCAGCUCCCACCUGACUGGGGAUCUUGCUAAUUGGGUGGAUGCCGACCGCGGUGGUGAAGACCGUUCAAAUGUGGUUCUCUUGCAUCAGGAUGUGUGCAAUCCCUUUGUUGAUGGGCUAAUGGGGUUCCCCAAUGCUCAUGUGAUGGCAACUAUGAAAGUUGCGGCCUCAACCUUCUCCCUUUGGCUCCGUUGUGAGGAUGCCAAGUCCACUGCGGUGGCUCUUCAUUCACUCAUGUCCGUCUUUUUGUUACCGAGACGUUUCAGUUAA
rnacentral:rRNA from 1 species